rnacentral:sRNA from 1 species
UGUUUUUUUGGAAGAGGGGGGAUGCUACGCUGGUACUUUAUACCUCUUUUUUUCCCUAUCUGCCAAAGGAUGAAAAACCAACAACAAAUUCUAUGCUGGACAUGUGGAUUGGUGAAACUGCUAUUCCAUGUACUCCCAGUGUAGCAAAAGGAAAAUCAAGAGCAAAAAUCAGCUGCACAAAGAAGUUCAAGUUUGAAUGUAACUUCAGAUCAUAUGAAUACAGAAAUUACUACUUAUAAGAAGAAAUUGAGUACUAAGCAGCUAUGCCAUAAGACUAUAACAGAUGAAGCUCACAGCAACCUUAACACAACAGUUGGAUUUUCAAAGUUUACAUUUACAAGGAUGAAAGAUUCUCAGAUUCUUUCUCAGUUUAAUCAAAAUUGUAUAACUGGAAGUAUGUCUGAUACCAAAAUUACACAGGGUGUGGAGAAAAAGAAAAGUGUCAACCCAUUACUGGAGGAAGCUGUUGGACAGCAAUCUUUGGUGAAACUUUCUGAAUCUUUCAAACAAUCUUCAAAAG